AAAGGAAGAACAAGAAGACCUCUGGUGUCUCUGUCUCCUGGUCUCUGUCUCCUGGUCUCUGUCUCCUGGUCUCUGUCUACCUGUCUGUCUCCUGGUCUCUGUCUCCUGGUCUCUGUCUCCUGGUCUUUGUCUCCUGGUCUCUGUCUCCUGGUCUCUGUCUCCUGGUCUUUGUCUCCUGGUCUCUGUCUAUCUGACUGUCUCCUGGUCUCUGUCUCCUGGUCUCUGUCUCCCUGUCUGUCUCCUGGUCUCUGUCUCCUGGUCUCUGUCUCCCUGUCUGUCUCCUGGUCUCUGUCUACCUGUCUGUCUCCUGGUCUCUGUCUCCUGGUCUCUGUCUACCUGUCUGUCUCCUGGUCUCUGUCUCCUGGUCUCUGUCUACCUGGUCUCUGUCUCCUGGUCUCUGUCUCCCUGUCUGUCUCCUGGUCUCUGUCUCCUGGUCUCUGUCUCCCUGUCUGUCUCCUGGUCUCUGUCUCCUGGUCUCUGUCUCCUGGUCUCUGUCUACCUGUCUGUCUCCUGGUCUCUGUCUCCUGGUCUCUGUCUACCUGUCUGUCUCCUGGUCUCUGUCUCCUGGUCUCUGUCUACCUGUCUGUCUCCUGGUCUCUGUCUCCUGGUCUCUGUCUCCUGGUCUCUGUCUCCUGGUCUCUGUCUACCUGGUCUCUGUCUCCUGGUCUCUGUCUCCUGGUCUCUGUCUACCUGGUCUCUGUCUACCUGGUCUCUGUCUCCUGGUCUCUGUCUACCUGGUCUUUGUCUCCUGGUCUCUGUCUAUCUGACUGUUUCCUGGUCUCUGUCUCCUGGUCUCUGUCUCCUGGUCUCUGUCUACCUGGUCUUUGUCUCCUGGUCUCUGUCUAUCUGACUGUUUCCUGGUCUCUGUCUCCUGGUCUCUGUCUACCGGGUCUCUGUCUACCUGGUCUCCGUCUACCUGGUCUCUGUCUACCUGGUCUCUGUCUCCUGGUCUCUGUCUACCUGGUCUCUGUCUACCUGGUCUCUGUCUACCUGGUCUCUGUCUACCUGACUGUCUCCUGGUCUCUGUCUAUCUGA
rnacentral:lncRNA from 1 species